rnacentral:rRNA from 1 species
CCUACGGGAGGCAGCAGUAAGGAAUCUUCCACAAUGGACGAAAGUCUGAUGGAGCAACGCCGCGUGCAGGAUGAAGGCUUUCGGGUCGUAAACUGCUUUUAUAUGGGAAGAUUAUGACGGUACCAUAUGAAUAAGGACCGGCUAACUACGUGCCAGCAGCCGCGGUAAUACGUAGGGUCCAAGCGAUAUCCGGAAUUACUGGGCGUAAAGCGUGUGUAGGUGGAUUAAUAAGUGUGAUGCGAAAUCCGGCGGCUCAACCGUUUGGACUGUGUCGCAUACUGUUAGUCUAGAGGACGGCAGAGGUAAGUGGAAUUACGGGUGUAGCAGUGAAAUGCGUAGAUAUCCGUAGGAACACCAAUGGCGAAGGCAGCUUACUGGGCCACACCUGACACUGAGACACGAGAGCGUGGGGAGCGAACAGGAUUAGAUACCCUGGUAGUCCACGCCGUAAACGAUGCAUACUAUUAGUAUGGGGUAUCGACCCCCUGUGCUGAGAAGCUAACGCGAUAAGUAUGCCGCCUGGGGAGUACGAGCGCAAGCUUAAAACNCAAAUGAUAGAGCGNGAGAGNGCGACGACGACGACGAGGGAGGAGG